rnacentral:rRNA from 1 species
UACGGAGGAUCCAAGCGUUAUCCGGAUUCAUUGGGUUUAAAGGGUGCGUAGGUGGAAUAGUAAGUCAGUGGUGAAAGCCUGUUGCUUAACAACAGAACUGCCAUUGAUACUGCUAAUCUUGAGUACAUCUGAAGUGGGCGGAAUGUGUCAUGUAGCGGUGAAAUGCUUAGAUAUGACAUAGAACACCAAUUGCGAAGGCAGCUCGCUACACGAAUAUUGACUCUGAGGCACGAAAGCGUGGGGAGCAAACAGG